rnacentral:lncRNA from 1 species
GGACACCUGCAGCAGCCCAAGGGGAUGCGGAGAAUGCAGUGCUUGUGUCGGGUCAUGGUCCUACGGCAAUGCCAGGUCUGUGUCACCCAGUGCCGACUUCAGCUUCAGUAACCACUUUAAGGGACCAUUACAAGAUCUUCCAGAAAAACAGCACAAGAAACUUCCUGCGGGCUCUCGUAUAAAAUAUGUCCAGAGAUGGUCUAACAAGGCUUUCACAACUGUCUUUCUAUGCAACAAGAAGCAAUUUUCAUUAUCAUCUGAUGCAAGGCAGCGCUACCCAACACUACAGGUGAAAACUGCUGGCCUUGUAAUUUUGUCAAGUAAUGAAGAGAGGGUCUUGAUAUUGCCGAGGAGAUCAGCUGCAGUGGAGGUAAGCGGCACUGCGGGAAGGGAUCGCGGCAAAAAAGAAACCCUAAAAGGACUGGCAAGGAGCUCUUUUUGAGGGCUUUAGAAGCUGGUAGCAGCGACUGGUCCCUCCAGGAGCUGGCUGCUUGUGGGCGGGUGGCAUAUAAGGAGGUGAUUGGAGACAGCCAACGUGGCUUCACCAAGGGCAAAUCGUGCCUGACAAAUUUGGUGGACUUUUAUGAUACUGCCACACACUUGGUGGACAAGGGCAGAGCAACAGAUAUAAUCUACCUGGACUUGUGCAAAGCUUUCAACACUGUCACACAUGACAUCCUGGUCUCAAAAUUGGAAAACAAUGUAUUUGAUGGACUCAGUGGAUAAGGAGCUGGCUGGAUGGCCACACUCAAAGGGUUGUGGUCAAUGACUCACUGUCCAACUGGCGGCCAGUGACAAGUGGUUUUCCUCAGGGGUCCAUACUGUGAUCAGUGCUGU